rnacentral:rRNA from 1 species
UGGGGAAUCUUGCGCAAUGGGCGAAAGCCUGACGCAGCGAUGCCGCGUGCGGGAUGAAGGCCCUCGGGUUGUAAACCGCUUUCAGCAGGGACGAAAUUGACGGUACCUGCAGAAGAAGCCCCGGCCAACUACGUGCCAGCAGCCGCGGUAAUACGUAGGGGGCGAGCGUUGUCCGGAUUUAUUGGGCGUAAAGAGCUCGUAGGCGGUUUGGUAAGUCGGGUGUGAAAUCUCCAGGCUCAACCUGGAGAGGUCACCCGAGACUGCCAUGACUAGAGUCCGGUAGGGGUGUGUGGAAUUCCUGGUGGAGCGGUGAAAUGCGCAGAUAUCAGGAGGAACACCCGUAGCGAAGGCGGCACACUGGGCCGGUACUGACGCUGAGGAGCGAAAGCGUGGGGAGCGAACAG